CCUACGGGAGGCAGCAGUGGGGAAUAUUGGACAAUGGGCGAAAGCCUGAUCCAGCAAUGCCGCGUGAGUGAUGAAGGCCUUAGGGUUGUAAAGCUCUUUUACCAGGGAUGAUAAUGACAGUACCUGGAGAAUAAGCUCCGGCUAACUCCGUGCCAGCAGCCGCGGUAAUACGGAGGGAGCUAGCGUUGUUCGGAAUUACUGGGCGUAAAGCGUACGUAGGCGGUUAUUCAAGUCAGAGGUGAAAGCCUGGAGCUCAACUCCAGAACUGCCUUUGAAACUAGAUAGCUAGAAUCUUGGAGAGGUGAGUGGAAUUCCGAGUGUAGAGGUGAAAUUCGUAGAUAUUCGGAAGAACACCAGUGGCGAAGGCGACUCACUGGACAAGUAUUGACGCUGAGGUACGAAAGCGUGGGGAGCAAACAGGAUUAGAUACCCUGGUAGUCCACGCCGUAAACGAUGAUAACUAGCUGUUCGGGCUCUACGAGCUUGAGUGGCGCAGACUACGACAUUAAGUUAUCCGUCCGUCGGGAGGUACGGUCGCGAAGAAUUAAAACGUUAAAAGUAAAGUUAGUACGGCGUGAGACGUCGCCGACGGACGACGACGAGGGAGGUUAGG
rnacentral:rRNA from 1 species